rnacentral:rRNA from 1 species
GACGAACGCUGGCGGCGUGCUUAACACAUGCAAGUCGAACGGGAAGGCCCUGCUUUUGUGGGGUGCUCGAGUGGCGAACGGGUGAGUAACACGUGAGUAACCUGCCCUUGACUUUGGUAUAACUUCAGGAAACUGGGGCUAAUCUCGGAUAGGAGCUCCUGCUGCAUGGUGGGGGUUGGAAAGUUUCGGCGGUUGGGGAUGGACUCGCGGCUUAUCAGCUUGUUGGUGGGGUAGUGGCUUACCAAGGCAUUGACGGGUCGGCGGCCUGAGAGGGUGACCGGCCACAUUGGGACUAAGAUACGGCCCAGACUCCUACGGGAGGCAGCAGUGGGAAAUAUUGCACAAUGGGCGGAAGCCUGAUGCAGCAACGCCGCGUGCGGGAUGACGGCCUUCGGGUUGUAAACCGCUUCCGCCUGUGACGAAGCGUGAGUGACGGUAAUGGGUAAAGAAGCACCGGCUAACUACGUG